rnacentral:rRNA from 1 species
GACGAACGCUGGCGGCGGCGCCUAACACAUGCAAGUCGAACGAGCGAGAGGAGAGCUUAGGCUUUCUCGAGCGAGUGGCGAACGGGUGAGUAACGCGUGAGGAACCUGCCCUGUACCGGGGGAUAACAGACAGAAAUGUCUGCUAAUACCGCAUAAGCGCACGAGAAGGCAUCUUCUUGUGUGAAAAACUCCGGUGGUACAGGAUGGACCCGCGUUGGAUUAGCCAGUUGGCGGGGUAACGGCCCACCAAAGCGACGAUCCAUAGCCGGCCUGAGAGGGCGACCGGCCACAUUGGGACUGAGACACGGCCCAG